GGGGCGUUAGCUCAGUUGGUAGAGCACUACCUCGACAAGGUAGGGGUCAGUGGUUCGAGUCCACUACGCCCCA
rnacentral:tRNA from 1 species